GACGAACGCUGGCGGCGUGCCUAAUACAUGCAAGUCGAACGCAGUUGCGAACGGGUGAGUCACGCGUAGGUAACUGCCUGGUAGCGGGGGCUAACUAUUGGAAACGCUAGCUAAUCCCGCAUACUACCAGAUGGACCUGCGUUGUAUUAGCUAGUUGGUGGUGUAACGGCUCACCAAGGAAACGAUACAUAGCCGACCUUGGAGGUUGAUCGGCGACAAUGGGACUGGGACACGGCCCAGACUCCUACGGGAGGCAGCAGUAGGGAAUCUUCGGGAAUGGGGGGAACCCUGACCGAGCAACGCCGAGUGAGUGAAGAAGGGUUUCGGAUCGUAAAGCUGGGUUGUUAAGGAAGCGGUACUUAACCAGAAAGGGAAGGCUAACUACGUGCCAGCAGCCGCGGUAAUUC
rnacentral:rRNA from 1 species